rnacentral:rRNA from 1 species
AUUGAACGCUGGCGGCAGGCCUAACACAUGCAAGUCGAGCGAGAGGCGGACGGGUGAGUAAUGUCUGGGAAUCUGCCUGAUGGAGGGGGAUAACUACUGGAAACGGUAGCUAAUACCGCAUACCAUCAGCUGAGCCCAGAUGGGAUUAGCUAGUAGGUGGGGUAAUGGCUCACCUAGGCGACGAUCCCUAGCUGGUCUGAGAGGAUGAACAGCCACACGGGAACUGAGACACGGUCCAGACUCCUACGGGAGGCAGCAGUGGGGAAGAUUGCACAAUGGGCGCAAGCCUGAUGCAGCCAUGCCGCGGGUGUGAAGAAGGCCUUCGGGUUGUAAAGAACUUUCAGGGGGGAGGCGUUACCCGCAGAAGAAGCACCGGCUAACUCCGUGCCAGCAGCCGGGGUAAUUC